GGGCCUGGCGCGAAAGAAUGAGCCGAUGCCCGAUUAGCUAGUUGGCGGGGUAAGAGCCCACCAAGGCGACGAUCGGUAGCUGGUCUGAGAGGAUGAUCAGCCACACUGGAACUGAGACACGGUCCAGACUCCUACGGGAGGCAGCAGUGGGGAAUAUUGGACAAUGGGCGCAAGCCUGAUCCAGCCAUACCGCGUGGGUGAAGAAGGCCUUCGGGUUGUAAAGCCCUUUUGUUGGGAAAGAAAAGCAGUCGGUUAAUACCAGAUUGUUCUGAACGGUACCCAAAGAAUAAGCACCAGCUAACUUUC
rnacentral:rRNA from 1 species